rnacentral:lncRNA from 1 species
UAUCCGCCUCUCUUCAUGAGUUCGGAUUUUUGAAACAACUGGUCGAUGCAUGAAUUUAAUAUGAUAUCAGAGUCAAGUUGUCUUGAGUUCAAGACCCUGCCAACGCAAUAUUAAAAAAGAUUCUGCGGCGUGAUCCCACAUUUCAGGACUAAAAUAGGCUUGAUAUGGGAAGAAAUAUUGAAAUAUACAUCAUUUCAGACUUUUAAAACAACUAGCUGGUGCAUGAAUUCGAUAAUAUAAACGUAAAUCGGGCCUAAAUUUAGGACACAAAUGCGUACACGAGACAUUUUUGUCCUCGCGGGCCAAACGAACGCCAAUGGAAGAAAUGGUUCGCUGCAUUGGAGUUGGCCUUACUAUCCUAUAAUUGGAAGUUGUGAGCUAAGAACAACGUAAUCACACGCACAACGCAUGCAUAAAAAGGCAAUAAAUUAUUGUCGAAGUUGUUACUACAUUAUUACCAAUGCCGGCCAUGAUCACAAACAAGCGGGAGCCAGAGGGAAGUGGCCUAGCCAGCAACUAGUGCCCUUAUGAAUUCGUGGUAGCGCCGUUCGUCAGAUGAUCCAGUUUAGCAUCGCAUGUCAGAAUUUCCUCCACGGCUUCCUGAAAAUGGAGCAACAAAUCAGUGCUAUCUACAGACUACAGUUCCACACACAACGUAGAUCGUCGUUGAUACAAGAUCACACAAAAAUCUAAGAUUUUCGUACCUCAAUACAUUUCAAAGUAUAUUGGACAUCACCGUCUGAAAUUUGGUAGUGUACCGCAAGUCUGACACUGCAAAUUGAAG